GCGAUCAGGGACCUCUAAUC
rnacentral:rRNA from 1 species